CGUCUUCUUCACCCGUACCGACAACACCCACCUCGACAUCCAGAAUAUGCAAGCAGAACAUGGACGACUCCUAGAACAGCAACAAAAGUGGAACCAGGACCACACCGCUGUAGUACAAGGACUGAGGCAAGACACUACUUCAAUAAGCGACAACAUCUCUGCCAUAAUGCGAUUCUGGAACAUUGGGUAAGACCGACAACCACAUCCAGCUUGGGGAAGUUCCUCCCUGUUUUAUCAAGUAAGUUUUUAUUUGCUCUUCUUAUUUAUUCCUUUCUGUUUUAGUGUUUUAUUAUUUCAAAAAAACCCCAAUAAAUAUUGUCUUGCUUUGAUUCUAUGAACAUAAAAACAAAAUAAAAAGAGUGUAUAGAUAAGUGUACUUUAUUUGUCUGCUAAGUGUUAAUCUCUAGAAAUAUAAAAAGAUUAAAAAGAUGCACGAUGGAAAUGAUGAACAGUUGCUCAAGUUGCUUACUUUCAAGUACCUAACUUUUAUAUUAAAGUUCUUCCAGGAAUUACUAAAACUAAAAUUUACUAUCUAUGGGAAGCAUGAACCUAAAACCAACGUCUAGGUAAGAGAAGGACAUGAUAUAAAGUUUCAGCUACUGUUUAUCUUGUUCCUACUACACUAAGUUCUCGAGAUUUAUUUUGAAAACUUGCAAAUCACAUGAUGAGUUCCUAGCAUGACAAAAUUCCUACCACAACCAUACUUACUAUAACAUCUUUUGCUACUUAUAUUCACAUUGAGUUUGAUCGAGCUGUGUAGACCAUUAGGAGCUUUUCAUGUGGUUCAAUUAAGAUAUUCACUUGCACACAUCUACUACACCAUCCACCACCAUUCGUUAAAAUUGCUAAAAAUAUUAUCACUCAUUGUCCCAAGUGUUGUUAUUCUCUCUCUCAAAAAAGAUUCAAUGUAGAAAAGGCAUGGGUUAUACAAAAAUAUGCGAGGAAAUAAAAAGGGGCAAGUGCCCGGAACCUCGAAAAAGAAAGAAAAAGAGUGAGAUGAGAGGUAAAAAUGGAGAAGUGUCCGGAGUAGAAUUAGGGGUACAAAGAUGCCCACCUGAGCGGAAAAAAAUGGACAAGUGUCCGACAGUAGAAUUAGGGGUAUUCGCUACCCACCUGAAAAAAAAGAAGAAAAUAGAAAAGAAAAAGAUAGCCCAUGCUCUCCCAAAGCAAAGAUCAAAGAGGAGGAGAGAUAGCAAUAUGAGGAGCAAUGAGAAGUAAGUUUUAUCAUUACUUAUAUUUUCACCAUUACUAUCAUUUACUCCACCACACAUGCACAUCUUGAUUUAAUUACAUGUUAAGUUCUUUCGGAUCCAUGGCUCGAUUAGACAACAUAUGUAUGAGUUGUUUUUCACACCUAUGAGCUCCACAUAAACAUUCCCUUAGUUAUAGAUAAGUGACAUUUUUGGUGAGGAUCCACAAAUACCAUAUAUAGAGAGACCUGAGAGAAUCAUAGCUGAGAACUCUGAGUUUUAUUUUUGAAAACUCAUGCAAAACUCCAGAACAAAGGUGAAGUAUAAUCAGGAGGAAUAGUUCUUUCUUAAUUAUUUUGUCUUUCAAUUACUCAAGACUUAAGUGUAGGUACUAAGCUCCAUAACACUUCACUCUAAUCUGGGAGAAUUUUUAUGUGAAAGCAUGUGACCUGUCACGAAAGAAAAUAUCAAAGCAACUCCUCAUCCAUUUGAGUUUAGCUGUUUGCUCAGGGACGAGCAAAGGGUAAGCUUGGGGGAGUUUGUUGACGGUCCUUAAGUACUAAAUUUAACCGUCAAGUAAACAUGGAAAAGGAUCAAUAUGCACCAAACAUCUAGAAUUAUGGUUUUGAUGCGACAUGUUGUCCCGAUCUUCAUGACGUAGGAUGAACACCGAUAACUAGCUGAAGAAGAGCCGGAUAACUAGUGCAACCUGGCAAAUAAAACUCGAAGCCAACCACCAUCUUUAACCGGCAACCUGAAUCGAGGAUUCGCCCAACCACACUCUCAAGGAACCAACCAACACAUCCUACAAUCAAUCAAGGAAUACCUUAAAGGGAGUAGGAGCACCAAUUGGGAGCGGAUGAAGCCGCCGCCUAUGUAAUCCCGCGAGGAAAUCACAAGAGCAAAGGGG
rnacentral:lncRNA from 1 species